AUCUACCGGCUGGUGAAUUUUCAUACACGUUUUUAGAACAGCGUUUUUGCAAAUAUAAUAGUGACCACCUUACAUACAAUACAUAAACUACAGUUAGACUUCACAGACGAGCAAGUGCAGCGGAAGAUGUGUGUUGAAGAGCUGGUUUUUAGAAACGAAGGCAAGUAUGCGCGUAUUUAUACCAUUUCAUAAAUGACAUUGAUCGUGCUGUGUAUGAUGGUGCAAAUACCUAGUAUCACGCUACCCGGUCUAGAACAAUAUGCUGUACGUAAAUGCAUGCGCAACACCUACACGAGCAAGUCCUCGCGCUUUACGUCUACAUUUACACGUUUUUGAUUUCUGCCCGAAUCAUCGCAAUUAUUAAAAGUGGAUUAUAUUAUCAAUAUAGAAAUUUUUCGAUGUAUUAGUUUUAGACUAUAUGAAUAUAUUUUCCUAACUAUACUAAUAAAAUAUUAAGGUAGACAAAUUUUAAACAAUAAACUAAUAAAUUUGUAAUUUUUUCAAUUUUAACUCUUCUAA